GGGGGGGGGGGGCAACACAUGAACGAGCAGACAAGUUGAACGUGGAGCAGCCUGAGGAGGACUUCACGGUGCACGAGACUCACCGGAUGACACUGAGGCAGACGAGCAUCCUCCGUCCUCUCGCGCCGCUGCUUCGCGCGCUGUUGUCCCCUGCCCUCUCACCGCCACCGAGUCCAACUUGUUCUUCUUUGUGGAUCACCGGUUUGGUCUCAGGCGAGUCCACAUUCAGAACAUAAAGCAGCGCGACCCGCCGAAGCACAGCCCAGCCCUGGAUUCAAUACUCCUGAUCAAUGGACAGAGCCUCCUCAGCGGCCAGCAGCGCUACAGACACGCCGUAAACAACUCCUUCUCUCUGGCCGGAGCUCCUCUGGGGGUCUGGAGGAGGAUGGAGCGAGGAGGGGAGAGUCCCAUCACCCAGGACAGUCCUGAGCGGAGGGGGGGCAGCCCCGACCUCAGCGGCCUCCCACCUCCGGGAAAGAAGGGCCGGUUGGAGCUGAACGGCAGCCCCACCGGGCCGCGCAUCCGCCACAACGG